rnacentral:tRNA from 1 species
CGCGCGUGGCGGAAGUGCGCGCGUCGCGCGCGAUCCGUGGUGUCGCGCGGAUGCCUGGGCCGUUGCCGCGAUCCUGCGCGACGCGCGC